GUACGACGCUUUCAUCAGUUUGUAUCACUGUGGUGGACUUUUGGUGGAGGAACCAGACUCACAGUUAACUUGGAUCGAACGCGUCCCACCCUGACGGUGCUGCCCCCCUCCAGUGAGGAGCUGCAGCAGGAGAAGGUCACCCUCAUGUGUCUGGCCAACAAGGGCUUCCCCUCAGACUGGACUCUGUCCUGGAAGGUGGACGGCAGCAGCAGCAGCAGCAGCAGCAGCAGCAGCAGCUGGGAGCAGAGCAGGAGCUCCGAG